AGGGUGACAGCCCCGUACACAAAAAUGCACAUGCUGUGAGCUCGAUGAGUAGGGCGGGACACGUGGUAUCCUGUCUGAAUAUGGGGGGACCAUCCUCCAAGGCUAAAUACUCCUGACUGACCGAUAGUGAACCAGUACCGUGAGGGAAAGGCGAAAAGAACCCCGGCGAGGGGAGUGAAAAAGAACCUGAAACCGUGUACGUACAAGCAGUGGGAGCACAGAGCAAUCUGUGUGACUGCGUACCUUUUGUAUAAUGGGUCAGCGACUUAUAUUCUGUAGCAAGGUUAACCGAAUAGGGGAGCCGAAGGGAAACCGAGUCUUAACUGGGCGUUAAGUUGCAGGGUAUAGACCCGAAACCCGGUGAUCUAGCCAUGGGCAGGUUGAAGGUUGGGUAACACUAACUGGAGGACCGAACCGACUAAUGUUGAAAAAUUAGCGGAUGACUUGUGGCUGGGGGUGAAAGGCCAAUCAAACCGGGAGAUAGCUGGUUCUCCCCGAAAGCUAUUUAGGUAGCGCCUCGUGAAUUCAUCUCCGGGGGUAGAGCACUGUUUCGGCAAGGGGGUCAUCCCGACUUACCAACCCGAUGCAAACUGCGAAUACCGGAGAAUGUUAUCACGGGAGACACACGGCGGGUGCUAACGUCCGUCGUGAAGAGGGAAACAACCCAGACCGCCAGCUAAGGUCCCAAAGUCAUGGUUAAGUGGGAAACGAUGUGGGAAGGCCCAGACAGCCAGGAUGUUGGCUUAGAAGCAGCCAUCAUUUAAAGAAAGCGUAAUAGCUCACUGGUCGAGUCGGCCUGCGCGGAAGAUGUAACGGGGCUAAACCAUGCACCGAAGCUGCGGCAGCGACGCUGAUGCGUUGUUGGGUAGGGGAGCGUUCUGUAAGCCUGUGAAGGUGUGC
rnacentral:rRNA from 1 species